GCCGGUCGGCUCUCGGAGACUGCGUGCGCCAUGGUGGGGGGCGAGACGGCCGCCGCGGUGGAGGAGCUGGUUUCUGGGGUGCGGCAGGCGACCGACUUCGCGGAGCAGUUCCGCUCCUACUCGGAGAGCGAGAAGCAAUGGAAGGCCCGCAUGGAAUUCAUCCUGCGCCACCUGGCCGACUACCGCGACCCGCCCGACGGCGGCGGCCGCCUGGACCAGCUUCUUUCCCUCUCCAUGGUCUGGGCCAACCACCUCUUCUUGGGUUGCAGUUACAACAAAGACCUUUUAGACAAGGUGAUGGAAAUGGCUGAUGGGAUUGAAGUGGAAGACCUGCCACAGUUUACUACCAGGAGUGAAUUAAUGAAAAAGCAUCAAAGCUAAGUGGGAAGAUUCGUCACAGGUUCAUCAUCAGCUACACAGGCUUAGAAAGGACAUUGGGAUGUUGACCACAGAUGCUCUUAAGACCCAUGGAGCUCACACCAGAUAAAAGCUGCAAGAUACUGGCUCCUACAAUCCUGCCCAAGACUUGGGGUGAGGAUCAAGUUGAGAUCAUCAGAAAGGACAUGGUAAAGUAUUACAUGAAGUAGAAAUGAAGAGGAUCUUUUCUGUUAAAGGCAUAACCCUAAAGACCUUGUGAGAAGCAAGUGCUAAUAGUACAAUUUAAGUUCUGUUAACAGUGUUGCCUCAACUUCAUGUUAUCCAGGAAAUUGCUUUUGAAACAUUCUUUUGAGUCUGUGGCCCACUUGAUCAAUUCUUUACUUUCACAGAGGAAAAGAUUCCCUCUUGACUUUUCCAGACUCUGUUUGGACCUGCGGCUUAUCUAUUCCAUGAGCACAGGAAGGAAUCGCAUUAACACCCAUCCUCUGAUGCUUUGCUACCUGUAGUGAAUGACAGUGAAGAUAUACACUAUCGUAUCUGAAAUGCAUUUUUUUAAAGCAAGUUUUUUUUUUUUUUAAGAUUUAUUUAUUUAUUCAUACAAGCACUGGGUACAGUCAGAAGCGCAGAAGGGUGACAGAAUUCAGCAGAGCCAGAGCAGGGAGCAGAACAGGCAGACCAACGAAGUACACUGCUGAGGAGCAGAACAGGCAGACCAACGAAGUACACUGCUGAGGGGAGCAGCAGGUGCUACAGGAGAGGUCUGUGCACCAUGUGGGACCCUCGCUGACGGCUGGGGAUUGAACCGGCGCUGCAGUGGCUGUGGGCAGCUUUGCAGCCCAGCGCUCAACUGCUGCGCCACCAGGGAGGCCCUGGUGGGCAUUUUUUUAUUGACUGAAGUAAUACCCUAAAUGUCAGGUAACAUGGUUAUCCCCAGCUGUGCAGUACUAAAGUCUAGGCCAGAUACCCUUAUAUCUGGAAGAAGGUCAACUUUCGAGGCCUGAGACUUGUCAUCUAGUCAUAGCUCUCACUCUUGACUAGUUCAGGGACACCUUUCAGUUCUGUAGGAAGAGUAAACACAAAUCUUAAGAGGAAAGUGUCUUAGAACUGCAACAGAUUUUGGUCAUAUGGGAAUUUUUUCCUUAAAUAAGUGCAUGCUAAAAAUAAUCUCUGUCCUCACAGGGAUUUAUAGCUAUGUAUCUAUCUAUACAUAUCUUCAGGGAAGAAACAAAAUGUCGCCUGGCUUGCUUUUCAUUAAAAUAAAUAGCAUUUUGGGCCUCCCUGGUGAUAUAAGGGGUUAAGCCUCAGCACUAUAAAGCUAUCACUAGCCGAAGUGGCACGAGUUCGAUCCCUGGCCAGGGAGCUGACCCACAUGGUGCAGCAGACCUCUCCUGUCUCGCCCGCUGCUCCCCUCAGCAGUGUAUUUCAGUAGAUCUGCCUGUUCUGCUCCCCACUCUUGUCUCUGGUGAAUCCUCUCACUUCCACACCUCUGGCCUGCACCCCAGUUCUUGUAUCCAUAAAUAAAUAAAAGUAAAUCUUUAAAAAAAAAGUUACAACUCCCAGGGCUAGCAACUGCUCAUUUUAAAACCAAAUGUGAAGUGAUUUCUCACAUUGCCAGCAGUGGGGGCCAUCCAUUGCAUGUGCUUUUGCCAGAGAUGGAGGUGUGCCAUAAGCCUUGCCUGCAGACAAGAGGGCCACCAGAGGUGGGGUGACUACAUUGGAACAUUCAUUUGGAAAUCAAAUAGUAAAAAGUGAGACUAUAAACUCCAAUUAGAUGGAGCUAACUACUUAUUCUAGGCAUGGACUUGUGACCCAGAGCUUUUUCCUUUGACAGUGCUGUCAGACUUUGAUGCCUCUUCACAACGUAACCCAGGCGGGUCGCAGCCCAAUUCCCACCCCCCUUUCCCUGCCCAGGAAAAGUAGGCGAAUGAACUAAAAAUAUCCUUGAAUAUGGCCCUCCAAUGUCAGUUGCCUGAGAGAAGGUUUUUAGGAGCCUGAGGCAGGUCUUGUCCUCUCCUGGUUUAGUGAAGGGGCAAUUAACAGUACAGUGGUCAAUCUUGAACUUAGUGAUGACUUGUUAGAAAUCCCUUGUUAGAAAUCCCUUGUUAGAAAUCCCUUGUUUUGCUGUGAAUGCCCAUUAGGGCUGCAUUUUCUUUUCCCUUUGACAUUUUCUCAUACAAAGGAUGUUUAUCCCUAGGUGUGAAUUGGUAGGUAUUUCUUCCUCCUGAGUUGGUUCACCUCAGUGUAGGGGAUCUGCAAGGUAGGGAUGCUUAUUUCAAUCUUCAUUGAGGACUCAGUGGAAAAGCUAAUGUGUGUGAAAGUACCUGGCACUUGGGGAGCCUUACUGCUUCAUUCUUGCCCUGCUUUCCCUUUAAGGACAACCUGGGAAGACAUGAAAUGUUUCAACUAUCUUGAAUUUACACAAGAGAAAAAUGAGCACUUCACAGUUACCUACCAGACCAAGCUCCACCCCCAGCGCUAUAAUAGGGCAGACCUUUUCUAUUUUAGUUGUCCAGCCAGUCUUAACAUAUGAGUUGCCACCCAUUAAGUAUUCAGUAGUUAUGUUGACUCAACAAACGAUGACAGGCACGGAACAAUGGAGAACCAAUCAAAUGCCACUGCUCUGGAGGGGGCAGAAGCAAAACCUCCAAGAUGGAGGAAAGGAGACAGCAGGUGGCCAAUUCUGGCUACAGCUUGGAUAUUCACUGUAGUCUUCCCACAUUUGGCACUUCGGGAGCCAAGUACUACCUGUUAUGGCUGGGGCUUGCACAUGCUGUGAGCAGAUGCUUUGCUGUGGUAUUAUUGACUGUAUAGUGGAAGACUUGCCCAAGUUAACCCUGUGAACACCUAGACUCCUUAAUACUCUGGGUAUGAAUUGUGGACCCUAGCUGACUGGGAAUAGUUGGGCUAGGACCGACACCUGCAGUCCCCACUUCCCCUUAAGCUAUUUUCAAUUUCUCAGGUGAUGAGACAGUGACUCAUGCUUCCUUUUGCCUUUCUGUGUUUACCAAUUUUUUUAUGACUAUGUUCUACUUUUAUAACAAGACCCAGAAAAGUGCUAAUUGUACCGAGAAUUUGGAUCUUGGACCCAGGAAGUCCUCUGCUGUUCUACUGGCCUCCUGCCCAGGCACCAGUGGUUGGUUCUAAGCUUCAGUUUUUGGUAUUUAGGACUUUGGUACUUACAGCCUGAUUCCUCAGACUUCAUCUUGAGAGAAUGCCAUGGUGAUUAUGAUUUGUUCUAAAGUUGCUCUGUGCAAAAUACCCAGCCCCUGUCAGAGAACUUGUAAGGGCUAAGAAAAGCCAGGGAGGGCAACUUCUUUCCUGAACAAAUGGGUUCAUCAACUACCACCCCCAGGCCGUGUUACUGCCCUUACUGAUCUUUCUGGCUUGUAAAAUAUUUCCUCCAUGAGACUGAUGUUUUCAAUCUAAAGGCAACCUUCUGCUCAUGUGCAGGUACAGUCCUGGAAGCCUAACCUCACUAUAGCACCUCCAGUUUAGUAAUCUAGCUUUUCUUUGGAGAUAUUCCAAGUCAUUAGCUGUUGAUAUUGGGUUGGCAUCUCUGGAUUCUGCUAUUCUCUGCCCAGUAGAUAACUAGGCCAACCAGCUUCUUAUUCCUUGCUGUCUCUGUAUUGGCACCAACACAUAAACAUAGACUGUCAACAAUUUUUGGAAAAAGGCUUUAUACAGGGGCCACAGAGCAGUAAGUAUCUUCAUUUGACAUUCUCUUUAGAAGUGCUGCUAGUCUAAUUCAAGUGGUAGGCUGUGGUAGUCUUGGCAAAAGGCCUUGUUUAUAGAGGGGGGCAGGGAAGAGGGAAAACACUAUCCUUUGGAUUUCAGACAGGAAGCAGCAUUAAGAGGUCUGUCUGAACUGUUUUUAUGUUUGUAUUCUGGCAGCAUUCAGGACACCACAGAAUCCUCCCAACAUUCCAGGGAAAAUGUUAACUGAAUGGAUCAGGUGGAUGGACCCCAAGGGGAUCCUUUCAGAAAUAGGGCAUGGCCCUCUGUAGGAAUGCUCCCAAGCCAGUGACACUUGAGGAAUCUGUUUUCCAGGAAAGGCUACAUCAGCUGUCCUCCCCACAAAAGACUGUAGAAAUAUCAUACUUGUCACCAAGACUAUCACAUAUAAAGACUUCAUUAGAGAAGUUGGCUGGUUAGACUGCUAAAAGGUUAUUUGUUGAAGAGUAUGUACACUAAAUAUAGUCUUUCCAAAGAUAUCAUUCUAGAAGUCACUGACAAAACAAAAGCAUCAUGUGGUCAAAAUCUAGCACUCAGUAAAUGGCAGAGUUUCUGAAAGUUAGUCUACGCAGGCUUCUCACCCAAGUAUAAGCCUUUCAAAUGCCAAAGAAUCUUGGAACCCUGCCUUCUGGAUUUCUUGAUUUCAACUAGCAAGGAGCUAAUGUUGCUGAGUCACAUACCCAACAAGAUUUGUUAAGGACAUAUCACAUUCAUCUUUUAGGCCCAACUAUCAAUAGAAAAAAAGCCCUACUCCAUGCCAUGUAUGAACAGUGAACUUAAAAACCUCAAGAUGAAAACUGAACAGGACCACCAUCUUCCACAAGGUAGCUUUUGAACUACUGACGAUUCUAUUAUAAUCGCCACAUAACAAAUGCCUUUGGGACUUUGCAUUGUUGGAUGCAAAAGAAAGAACUAAGGUACAGGCCAGAGGUGUGUGGGGUGAGAGGAUUCACCAGAGACAGAGGAACAGAACAGGCAGACUGAAAUACACUGCUAAGGGGGGCAGCGUGCGAGACAAGAGAGAUCUGCUGCGCCACGUGGGUAGCUCCCUGGCCAGGGAAUGAACUUCUGCUACAGAGGCUGCGGACUGCUUCAUAGGUUGCAUCUUAACCCCUUGCGCCUCCAGGGAGGCCCUCAUUUUCCAUUUUUUACU